rnacentral:rRNA from 1 species
UAAGGAAUAUUGGUCAAUGGGCGCAAGCCUGAACCAGCCAUGCCGCGUGCAGGAAGACGGCCCUAUGGGUUGUAAACUGCUUUUGUCAGGGAAUAAACCCCCGCUCGUGAGCGGGGCUGAAGGUACCUGAAGAAUAAGCAUCGGCUAACUCCGUGCCAGCAGCCGCGGUAAUACGGAGGAUGCAAGCGUUAUCCGGAUUCAUUGGGUUUAAAGGGUGCGUAGGCGGGAAAAUAAGUCAGCGGUGAAAGUUUGCAGCUCAACUGUAAAAUUGCCAUUGAAACUGUUUUUCUUGAGUGCAAAUGAGGUAGGCGGAAUGUGUUGUGUAGCGGUGAAAUGCUUAGAUAUAACACAGAACUCCGAUUGCGAAGGCAGCUUACUGGGAUGCAACUGACGCUGAGGCACGAAAGCGUGGGGAGCAAACAGGAUUAGAUACCCUGGUAGUCCACGCCGUAAACGAUGAGCACUAGGUGUCGGGGCCGCAAGGCUUCGGUGCCGCAGUUAACGCAUUAAGUGCUCCGCCUGGGGAGUACGCACGCAAGUGUG